rnacentral:tRNA from 1 species
GGAGAGUUGGCCGAGUGGUCGAAGGCACCCGUCCUGAAAACGGGAGGGCGAACAGCCCCGAGGGUUCGAAUCCCCCACUCUCCG